rnacentral:rRNA from 1 species
GACGAACGCUGGCGGCGUGCUUAACACAUGCAAGUCGAGCGGAAAGGCCCCUUCGGGGGUACUCGAGCGGCGAACGGGUGAGUAACACGUGAGCAACCUGCCCCUGACACUGGGAUAAGCCUGGGAAACCGGGUCUAAUACCGGAUAUGACCUGCCUUCGCAUGGGGGUGGGUGGAAAGGUUGGCCCGUUUGGGUCUUCCGGUCAGGGAUGGGCUCGCGGCCUAUCAGCUUGUUGGUGGGGUAACGGCCUACCAAGGCGACGACGGGUAGCCGGCCUGAGAGGGCGACCGGCCACACUGGGACUGAGACACGGCCCAGACUCCUACGGGAGGCAGCAGUGGGGAAUAUUGCGCAAUGGGCGAAAGCCUGACGCAGCGACGCCGCGUGGGGGAUGAAGGCCUUCGGGUUGUAAACCUCUUUCGGCAGGGACGAAG